rnacentral:rRNA from 1 species
CCUACGGGGGGCAGCAGUAGGGAAUAUUGCUCAAUGGGCGAAACCCUGACGCAGCAACACCGCGUGGAGGAUGAAGGUUUUCGGAUUGUAAACUCCUUUUGUUAGAGAAGAUAAUGACGGUAUCUAACGAAUAACCACCGGCUAACUCCUUGCCAGCAGCCGCGGUCUUACGGAGGGGGCACGCGGUACUCGGAAGCUCUGGGCGUAACGAGCGCGUAGGCGGGGUAGCAAGUCAGUUGUGAAAUCGUAUGGCUUAACCAUAGAACUGCAUUUGAAACUGUGAUUCUUGAGUAUGGGCGAGGUAGGUGGAAUUCUGGGUGGAGGGGUAAAAUCCGG